CCCGGGCCUUGUACACACCGCCCGUCACACCACGGGAGUUGGUUUUACCCGAAGCCGGUGCGGUAACUCGCAAGAGAGCUAGCCGACCACGGUAAGGUCAGCGACUGGGGUG
rnacentral:rRNA from 1 species